rnacentral:rRNA from 1 species
UACGGGGGAGCAAGCGUUGUUCGGAUUUACUGGGCGUAAAGGGCGCGUAGGCGGCGCAACAAGUCACUUGUGAAAUCUCCGGGCUUAACCCGGAGCGGCCAAGUGAUACUGUCGUGCUAGAGUGCGGGAAGGGGCUACUGGAAUUCUCGGUGUAGCGGUGAAAUGCGUAGAUAUCGAGAGGAACACCUGCGGCGAAGGCGGGUAGCUGG